rnacentral:tRNA from 1 species
GUUUCCGUAGCUCAGCAGGAUAGAGCGUCCGCCUCCUAAGCGGAAGGCCCCCGGUUCGAAUCCGGGCGGGAACG